AAAAUAUGGCAUAUCAAGCUUGUAUCAAAUGUAGGCCUAUGCAUUUUUUAUUUUACAUUGUUUGUGUGUGUUUAAAUUCAAAUGUCUACAAUAAUACAGUUAAGGCAUAUUUUUGUGUUCAUUUGAUUAGAUAAUAGCUGUUGCAACAUGACAUGCUAGAAAUAGCAUUGCAAGACCAAAACCAAAACCAUGACCAAAAACAGCAUAAUAUAAGAUGUAAUUGACUAGAUUUAUGGCCUUAUUAGCCUUUUUAAUGCAGCCAAGUCUUUGUUAUUGAAUUUUUUCUCUGACUGUACAAAACAUGCAGUUUUAUUAAGGAACUUUACACAUGUCAUUUAGAUUAAAAGAGAUUUUUUCACAGGUAUUCCAAACAGAGGGUUCGCAGUAAGUCUUUAGAUAAACCGUGAUUGUUUUAGUGAGUGUCAUAGCAAAAUCUUGUUAUUUGUGAGUGCAGUGGUAUGUAUCUUUUACUGUAUUAGUUGCUCUAUUCUUCUUUGUAGGAUGAUGGCAGAUCUCAACACACCUCUGUUCACACCACCUUAGCCCAGCAUGGAUAAGAAAUGUGUUUUAGAGAAUGUGGAAAAUAAAUACAGAGAAUUCAUAGCUGAGACCCUGCACUGCCUAAUUAAGCUCAAGAGAGAUCUCUUAAGCAGCCUAUUAACCUUGGACAAAAACUCAGCCUAUCCUCCCCCAAACAUCUCUGAAGACUUACGGACAGUGAUGAGGGUCAAAAAGUUUUGACCACUGGUCUCAGGUGGUCUCCUGUCAGAUUUUUUCUUCAGGAACCCAUUACUGGGAGCUGGAGGUGGAGGGAUUCUGGGAUAUAGCAGUGAACUACAGCUAUAUCCCUAUACAGCAGUGGGAGGAAAUCAAAAGAGGGCACAGACUUUGGCUGCAACAAGAUAGAUUGUUAACCUAAUACACAAACUUUUUUAAUACCAAAUAUGAUGAUCUCUCUGCAAAUGACUUCUUAAAAUAUAAAUGCACCCAUAUAUGUUCAUGUAUAAAGACUCAUUUUUACUGUGAAAAAAAAAAUUACACAAUGUUUCACAAUGUUAAAUCAAAUUAUAUAAAAACAGAAUUUUUUAUUAUUCUAGUCAUAUCGUACCAGAUGCCUGGCCCAUUGUAUAUUUUAAUCCAUUAUGUUCUGUGCAUUAUGAUUUUCUGUUAUCUUACCCAGAUAUCCUGAAGCCUGACACAGCAGCAUGACCGGAAACUUGCUGCCUGGCAUAACCGAAAGAAAACCCACCUCUCCGCAAAAAUGUCUGGCAACCAUUUAGCAGUUACUCUGGACUAUGAUUCUGGCUCCAUCACCUUUUUAGAAGUAGGUUCUUCAUCCACCUAGCUCCCUCUGCACAAUUUCAGCACCAGAUUCACCCAGCCCGUCUGCCUAGGCUUUGGCCUCUACAAACCAGAGCUGAACAGCAGGGUCACCAUCCUCAAGAAAAUAUGAUGGCAUUUCCAUCUCGGCAUUUUACUGUAAUUUUAAGGGGAACUGAGAUCCAAUGCCUCUUUCUCCAAUAAUGGAUAUUCAAAAUUAGCUAAAUAUAUAUCUCAUAAUAUAUUGCCAGUGCCCUUUUUUGAAGGCUCUUAAAUGCAUAAAAGUGCAAUUUAAAUGCAUUUAAAAUAUUAAAUAUUUCCAAUGUCAGCAGCCUUUGUCAUCACAGCUCAGGAAAGACACUAUAGUGAAGGGUUUGGGAUUGUGAUGCACCAUCAGCCAAUCAGCACUGUCAACUGUUCCGUACAGUUUAUGUGAUUGGCUCAAAAAGUUCUGUGCUUCCGUGAAAAAAAAAAAAAAAAAAAUCAUGUACUGUCAAGUUGUCCUGCACCAGCUGAUAAACCACCAUUGAGAAGAAGCUUUCUCCUGUUAUUAUAGACCUCACUGUUGGCAGCCCUUCCUUCAACAUCUAGAUUCAGGUAUCCUUACUAAAGCAGUGCAGCCAUUACUUUGUUUUUAAAAUAAAUGCACAAUUUUAAAAAUAGCCCUUUAAUGGACUGGCCAUCCGUUCAGGGUUUUCCCGCCUUUGGCCCAAGAUGCUGGCAUAUGUUCCAGCAUGCCUGCGACAGAGGAUAAGCGGUUGGAGAACAAAUGGAAUGUUGAAAUUUGACAAAAUAUAAGCACAGUUCACUCUUCUUUAAUUUAUUGUUUUUAUUUCUUGUGAUGUUCAAAAAUAAAAAAGUACUUGAUGUAUUUGAGAAAUCUGAAAAUGUACUUUUAUUGUAUUAUCCUUUGUGCCCUUUGAUGCUG
ensembl:lncRNA